rnacentral:rRNA from 1 species
CGGGUGAGUAACACGUGAGUGACCUGCCUUUUAGACUGGAACAACUUACCGAAAGGUGAGCUAAUGCCGGAUGAGUUAUAUAAGUGCAUGUUUAUAUAGGAAAAGUUGGGGAGACCUGACGCUGAAAGAUGGACUCGCGCCCCAUUAGCUAGUUGGUAGGGUAAUGGCCUACCAAGGCGACGAUGGGUAGCCGGCCUGAGAGGGUGGCCGGCCACACUGGGACUGAGACACGGCCCAGACUCCUACGGAAGGCAGCAG